rnacentral:rRNA from 1 species
AUUGAACGCUGGCGGCGUGCUUAACACAUGCAAGUCGAUCGGUAACAGGUGUAGCAAUACAUGCUGACGAGAGGCGGACGGGUGAGGAACGCUUGGGAAUCUGCCUAUCAGCGGGGGACAACCCGGGGAAACUCGGGCCAAUACCGCAUACGCUCUACGGAGGAAAGCCGGGGACCGCUAGGCCUGGCACUGAUAGAUGAGCCCAAGUCGGAUUAGCUAGUUGGCGGGGUAACGGCCCACCAAGGCGACGAUCCGUAGCUGGUCUGAGAGGACGAUCAGCCACACCGGAACUGAGACACGGUCCGGACUCCUACGGGAGGCAGCAGUGGGGAAUAUUGGACAAUGGGGGAAACCCUGAUCCAGCGACGCCGCGUGGGUGAAGAAGGCCUGCGGGUUGUAAAGCCCUUUCGGUAGGGACGAAAGCUCUUGCUCUAACAAAGCAGGAGGUUGACUUAACCUACAUAAGAAGCACCGGCUAACUCUGUGCCAGCAGCCGCGGUAAAAC